rnacentral:lncRNA from 1 species
CAUGCUAACAAAACAGAAAAUAAAGACAAACACUGUGGAAUUUGCCUGUAUUGCAUUAUCCUUUAAUAUAAAUGACAUAUAUGUUUUACAAAUUAGAGAGAUUGGCUUUGGAGAAUCAAGAGGCUGCAGAAGAUUCUUUUAAGGUGACAUUUUGAUUGAGUAUAUGGUUAGCUUUGUAGAUUGACAGUAGAAAUGUGCAGCCUACCUUUGAUGUGCUUGCUACCCACUAGAAUCUGUUGAAGAGUCCCAAUUUGCAGAAAGCUUCAGAUCAUUCUCAGAAGAUAUUUCUACAAAUGAUGUCCCAACGUUGUUCAAUUAGGCCUUACUGUUAAUUCACUUCAUUUUAUGCUACACUUAGGAUUUUGAUUAUAUUCUAAAUUUCACAUAUUCAUUUGAUGGGGAGCCUGCAUAUCUCUACUUGACAGUUAAGAACAGUGUUUAAAAAACAAAAUCAGUAAAGGAUGAUGACAAAUGUACAAUGUAGAAGAAAUGAACAGUGAACUGCUAUUAUUUUUGUUUUAGAUAUAUACAUGGACUGAUACCAAAGGCUAAAGCCUAAUACCUUAGUCUGCAAAGUUGCUUCACUGAAAAUCAGUCAAACUGCUCUUAUGACUAAGGUGAGAGGGAUUUGCCCUAGAGAAAAUUAGUAAUUGAGCUCCUGACAUAGGUUAUAGGUUUUGUACUGCAGGCUACUCAUUAUUUUGUUCACUAGGAUUAUGUUAGACUAAUCCUGAAUAGCAUUGCUCUAAAAAAAUGGCAAACUUAAAAGAACUAUGUGUACAAUAUGAAUUUAUUUUUUUCCCAAAAUAAUGACAUCAGCAACAAUUUUAUUUGCCUCUGCUAAAUAGAUACAUUCAAAAUUAGCUUAGUGUUAUAGUAAUAUUUUUAAACCUCCAGGGCUUGAAAUAAAUUUAAAGGAGGUAACUCUCUCCUUCUCAAGUUUCAAGAUGUCUUGAGAGUCCUUUUUUCCUCUACUAUUUUUCUUCAGUGGCUAUAAAAAUAUGCUCAAUCACUAUCUUUUUUCUUUUUUUUUUUAAAUCAUAGUUUGACAAAUAUUUACUCCGAAUCUCAUAUACAGUGGAAUCUGAAAACCUGUAGCAUUCAGCAAACCAAAAAUUACCACAGAAAGCAUGCUGGAAAAGAAGGCUGAAAUAAGUCAGUUUAAAGCACAGACAGGAAUUCUUUUUGAUGGUAUGUUUGAUCUUGUACAUCUGUAAUGAUUAAUUUAUUUUACAUAAUUGGAUCAUCUCCACUUUACAGUGAAGUUUCUGGUAUUUGGCAUUAACUGUUAGCAACAAUUUUUUGAACAGGCCCAUUACAACAGGUACUUUAGCUGAAAUACAACCAAACCCCGCCUUUAGAAAUCUAUUUGUAAUUUCCGAUCUGUACUGCAGAGCGUUCAUGGAUACAUCGGAAAGCAGAGGGCUGGAUUUCCCAGUACUGCACGGGGUUGCUGAAGAGACUCACACCAGAAUAGGUUGCCUUUUUGGUGUUGUAGCCAAGAGGGCAAAAGUCGUUGAUACCAAUUGAAGCAAUCUUGUUGUUAUGAAGAUAGACCACCUGGAUGUAUUUGUGUUCACCCAACCCACUAGGUACUCUGACAAGUUCGUUGUUAUUCAGAUGAAGUUCUCUCAGAUGAGGUACAUUGUUCAGAGAGCCAUUUUCAACAGAAGAAAUACUGUUGAAGCUGAGACCCAAUUUAGCCAAGUUGGUGAGUCCAGACAGACCUUCCGCAUCAAUUUUGCUAAUUUUGUUGCCAUCAAGGUGAAGCUCAGUAAGGGAUGGAGGAAGACCUUUAGGGAUGCUAGUAAUGUUGGUGUCUGCGAUGCGGAUAUAGGAAAGCCUCUUCAUCCCUUGAAAAGCUCCAUUUUCAAUGCCUGAGCUCUUGAGUGGAUUGGUGCCUAGUUCUAAGACAAUCACUUGAUUCAGUCCAUUAAAAACUGCCUUCCUCAACUUGGAGAUCUCAUUUUCAUGAGCACGUAUCUCCUGAAGAGACUUUGGCAUGUUUUCUGGAAGUUCCUUCAAAUUAUUCUUGGAUAGGUACAGUCUUUCCAGUUUCUUCAGAGGAGCAAAAGCUGCCGGACUUAUUUUGCUGAUUUUGUUGUUAACAAGGAUCAAUGCAUGAAGAUUCUUCAAAUUCUUGAAAUCUCCUUCUUUAAUUUCAGUGAUUUUGUUGUUCUGUAAAUCCAGCAGAGUUGUGUCAGGGGGAAGGUCUUUUGGCACUCUUUCCAGACCUAGGUCAGAGCACUGCACAACGCGAAGAUGACACUGGCAGCGGAAGGGGCACACUGGCCCAAAUCCAGAUAUGACAGGAUCAUCUGUUGGAGCCAUGUCGGCUGACCCUUCAUCCUCUAUCAUAAAGUCAAAGAGGCCCUUCUGGUGGAACGGCGUGGCCAAGCAUACUGGCAGCAGUAGGACGAAGAGGAGAACUAGCCUCAUGGCUCAGUUCAUCAACUCCAGGCAGAACCUACGAACCACAGUAGAGAAUUUAAAGCAAAAGUAGCAAUUUUCCAUAGCUGCACAGUCCCUGCUGAAGGAGGUCCAGCAUAUCCAAUAGUUGCAUAACUAUUCCUUUCAAUAAGUGAAAACUGAACUCUGAAUAUAGGACAGUUAUAUGAUAGCAGUCUGGUAACUGCUUGUCUACAGCCUUUUUUUUCUUUCACAAGAUGGUUUAAAGGCAACUCUAGAUACAUCUGUUUGCAUAUUUAGAGUAAUAUUUAUUAGGAACAGGCAGCACUGUCAACUUUGUUAUGCAAAACAAUCAACACAAUAAGCCACAUUUUCCAUGUAUAUGUUUUCUGCCAAUGGAAUAGUCUAUUUGAUUUCGUUAACAUUUGUUUCAUGGCAGUGAGUUUGUUCCCUCAGGAUGAACCUGAGGUUCCCAAAACUCACUGUAAUGCAGUACUUUGUGUCUUAAGAAAUCCUGUUGUUUUUUUGUUGUUGUUGUUGUUUUUGUUUUUUGAAGUGCCAGUUUGCUGUGUGUUUUGAAUUAUAUCCUAGUAAAGCUGACUGAGAUAGAGUAAGAUCUAGUGAUGGGGUGGAGAGAGGGAGAGAGAGAGAGAGAGAGAGUUCUUUAGUUUUAAAGUAAGCUAUUCUUAAUUCCCAGUUUAAAAAGCACAAUAAAAAAGAACACAGUGUUGUAUUACAUUGGAUAUUCUUGGCUUUCUUUCCAAGUUUUUGGCUAGGGGAUUUUACCUCAUAACAAUGCACUCUGAAAAUCCUCUGCUUUGUACUGCUUAGACAUUUGAACUGGUGCUUUCAGUAUUGUCAGCACACGUUCAAAUGGUACUUCAGGGCCUCAUCCUGCAGAUUUUCACACACAGGAGCACCUUUACACAAGUGUGAAUUGCCAUUUGAUAAUGAUAAGGAAAACUGCUAAAUAUGUGUUCCCAGGACUUUGACAUAAAAUGCAUUUCAAGACACUGUACAUUGUGCUACCUGUGUUGUGCACUAGGGAAGAAUUCCAAAACAGUUGUUUCCAGAUUUUGCAUCAAGGCUGUACCCUACUUUCUGAAAAUUACCUUCUUUUACUAUUUAAUUUACAUGAGGAAGCUUAUGUUUUGCAACCUUUCAUUGGUGUGUAAACAAUCCACAAUUAAAUAAAAAACAAAACUGCCUUUAAGUCAUCAAAUGAUAGAAAGGCAGUCUUGUUCCUUAUUAAGGAGACUUUUCUUAAAAUGAAUAGCACAAUUCUGAUUACAGAUAUUGUUCUUUUUAGUGAAAGCAAAGAUGUCCAGUUGCUUCUUCAGGCCAAUAACUAGAUCAUUGAAAUUUACUUCCAAGAUUCCUACUUGGGAUGUUAACUGGAUUCUAUCCUAUCUAGAAGAUAGCUAAUAGAUAGAAGUGUCACAUAGCACUUCCCAGCUCUAUUUUGACUAAUGGAGAUUAAAAAAAAAACUGAGAGGGAGGAGGGGAGAAUGAAUGUCUCCCUCACUCUAUUGAAACAUACUAGAUAGGACUAGACGAUUAACAUGGACAGUUGGUGGUAGGUGACAGUUGCAUACAGUUGCACACUGUUGCCUCUUUUUCCAAAAGACAACACCCAGGUACUGUAGCAGAAAUGGUCAGUAGAAAAAAAUGCUAAAUAAAUAAAAAUCACAGGCUGGAAUGAGAUACAAUCUGUACUGUGCCUGGGUUCAAUUUCCUUUACAAAUUUUUACAUAUUGAUGCAAAAAAUGCAGUCCUGCAGAAAUUUCUGAGGCUCAGUCACGAGAGGAUGGUGACCUUAUCAACUAUGCAAGUGUUAACAUCAGAGUUUACAUUUCUGUCAUCUACCUAGCAGAAAGACAGGGAUCUAACUUCUUCAGAUGUCCCAAAGACUUCCAAGUGAGUUCACAUGGAGCAAAAUAUAGUUUCUGUUAUCACUAUAAGAAACAUACUUGGUUUCUUAGACUCUAAAGUAUUUUUUGUUCCAGGAGUAGACAGACAUGUUACCCACUGCAUGCACUGAGGCACUCUAAAGACCCCAAUGUCAGCUGGAGAGUCACAGCCUUUUAGCCUGUCCUGUUCAUACAGCCCCUCACCAUGCAAUCUCAUGUCCUGCAGCUGGGACAGGCCAUGCUCCUGGGUGGGACAUCUUCCUGCAUCCUCCUGUCCCAGCCCCCACCAACAGCAGGGCUGUCCCAUGCCCAGCAUGCAGCCCUGUCAUGUGAUACUGAUGGACAAGUAAGGGUGUCACAGCAAUGAGGUAUUAAUACAGAGUAGUAAGUUCUUGCCACGGUUUAACCUAAUUCAAGUUCCUGGCAUAAUCAUAGAUUGUAAAAUAACAAUGCAAUUGAUUAAUCGCUUGAAACAGGAAUGCAAACUUGCUAAAUCAUCACCAUUCAUUUUAAUAAGCUGCCUUGUGAAAAUGAGCAGUAAAAUGCUACUCAACUGCAGAGCAUUUUUAAAGAUGCCCAUUUCAAAAUGCCCAAUAAACACCAGGAAAGCUGGACACCACCCCUGGCAAUGACAAUCAGUAUUUUUUCAAAAAGCUUCCUCAGAUCCCUUUUUACACAUAAAUAAAUAUAUAUAUAUGUAUAUAUAUACAUAUAUAUAUAUAUAUAUAACCUGCUUCUAAAUUCUCCAGUGUCACUGCUGGAGCACCAUCUCCUCCCUCCCCAACAAUGCACAAUCAGGAUCUUAUCCUGGAGUUAACUUACUAACACUCUUCUCCCAAGGGGUCGGUAAAUAAAUAAAUAAAUAAAGGAGGGCGCUUGGGAAGCAUCUUCACAUUCAUUAAUAUUGAUAAAUUUCACGUAUCUAAUUUAAUGCCCAUUGUAGACCUUUUCCUUUGGUCCCUGUUUUGUCAAAACUAGAACAAAUUCAGAAAAAAAGUUGUGCAUAAAGGAGGACUGUAUGACAACAAUGGAUAUCAAGGAUAUAAUUCAAACACACAGCAGAGAAAACAGCAGAUGCAAACUACAGAUUAAUCAGGAAAUAAGAGUAGAUGUGCACACGUCUUCAUUCAGAUGUUUUCCUACUGUAGGUACAUGUAUUUCUGGUUUUUACAGGUUUAAAUGGACAGAGACAGAUAGAUAUAAAACUGUACAAAAUUGUACUAGUAAGAAAUGUUUACAUUUCACUUUAAAAAAAAUAGGGAAGGAAAAAAAUCUGAAUUCUUAAAGGUCUGUGACACAAUAUUUAUGUCUGCAGACAGAACUGUUUAAAUUUGCUUUAAUUAUGUGUUUACAGUGAGUAAGACUUUUCCACAAACAGAGGAAACUAUACCAUAGAAUUGGCCACAUUUCAAUUCAAAAUAGCCCUGGAAAUAUGCUUCAUCAGUUCACGUCACCACAGUACUGGUGGUCUUUUUGUCAGUUUGCCUUAACCUUAUCUUUUAAAUAUUAGUCCAUCCACUCUCAGAAAUCCCUCAAAAUGCCACAAAAGACAAGUUAAAAAAUGCAUGCAGUUUCAAAAAAAAAAACAAACCUCCUACGUUAUGUUUAACUUUUUUUUUUUAACAAGAAAGUAUGGAAAAAGAGAAGUUGAAAGUCAAAAAGAGAUUUAAACUCUGCUAACAGAAGUUUCAAAUCCAGGGAUUUUCUUUCCCACUGUUUCAUCCACAGGCAGCUUCUUUAAAUAUAAGUUCCUCAUUUGCACGCUGUAACACGGCGCUUUCUAACACUACAAAGGCAUACACUGAUCCUGUUUAAAUAUCUACUACACAUCUUUUCCUCUGAAAUCAAAGUUAUACUCAUUAGAGUUUGUAAUAAGUACAAAGAAACCUGAACGGAAGAAAAAUAUAUCUGAGAGUGCAGUUUAAACGAGAAAUACACGAACUCAACACUUUUUUACACGCACUACAUCAUAGAUUCUAAACACUGACUUGCAAACAGAGAACAUGCUGCUGCAAAAGUUUACGGUACGGAAAAAGAAAGGACUAUAGCAGUGCUUAUACAAAUCAAAACAAGAGACAGAACAGUCAAAUAAACAGUAGGAAAUGUGUACAGUCCUUACGAACGCAUUCUCAUGUUCUCGAGAAACAAAAGUGCUGGAUACAACAUUCAACAUUGCUAAACAUUUAGUAGGAUUUUUCCUUGCUUCUCUUAAAAUCCAUCUACUUCUUGCCGUAGAAUUGCCUGAAGUUUUAUUAGUACAGCAUAGUUCAGGAGAAUUACCAAAAACCGUACCUUUUAAUCCAGGGAUUUGCAACAGGAGCUCUCAAAGCUGAGAUGUAAUUAAACUAAAUAUUCAACCCAGGCAAAGGCUUUGCAGGUGUGGAAAGGAGGAGGGGGUAAGUUCAGCUCAGUGACUGUCACUUGGUGGAAAACCCUCCUGCUUCUAUUCCAUAGCACAGUUAAAAAAUAAGGUUUCUCUCAAUGAACACAAUCCAGGCUGACACCCACAUUAGAUCAUAUGGUAAUGAUAUGUCUCCUGUAUUGUAGCCAGAAACUUUAUCAGCUCUUUUGCUUUCUUUUCCUCCUUUUUUUUUUUUUUUCCCCAUUUGCUUUAUUCUUUUUUCAUCUGUUUAGAAUCCCAAAGUGCUUGUACACAAUAAGACAGAUGCUUUUCUGUAAAUCAUCUCACUUAUUUUAUUUUGGUUUCUAAAACAUAUAUUUAGUAAAGUUUUCUUGGUUUUAACUGUUUUUUUUUCUGACUCAUUGCUGAGAAAAAAAAAAAAGGGUUGGCUGUUCUUCUUGUUUAUAAUAGUUGUAAUUCAAGGAAAGGAUAUAAAAUUAAUCUUAGAGCUAGUCAAAGUGGAGAUUAACAUCAGAAAAAAAACGGGGUAGCUUUAGGUAAAACCAUUUAUACAGAUAUUAACCUGCCUCUGCUUAUGCUAUAAUCAUUAUCUAAGUAAACAGCAUAUAGUGUAAUAUACUCUUAUUAUCUUGUAUGAAAAAGAGCUUUACAGAUUUCUUCAAACGUCAGCAUGUUUUUGAUAUAUAUGAAAAUCUUGUUUUUAUUAGCUGAAUGAUUCUAGCAUUUGUGGUUAAAACAGCUUUAUAUAAACUUUGAUUUUUUAUUUAUUUAUUUAUUUUUUUACUGCUUUCUCACCAGGACAGCAAAGCAGAGGGGAAAUUAGUUUUAACUCUAUUUCUUUUCCUUUAAGAUACAGUAGGGCUUUUUUAAACAUCAAUGGAACAACGUAUUUGACUCAUUGUCCAGCUUUAAAAUUUAAUCAGUAAUCCCUGUUUUAAUGCAAAUAUCAGUGGAAGCUACAAUGCAAUUUCUCUAUUGUUGCACAAUUUAAAAAUUCAGGCAAACUGAAAGGGAGUAAAUAGAAUAAUUGCUAUUUAUUUAGUUAUUCAAACAGAUUGUGAACAUGUGUAGCUUCCCUGUGCUGUUAACUGUCCCGUCACAAUAAUGGAGGCUUAUGUCUUUGUGUUUUGACUUGUAUCCUUUUAUUCCUGCCCCUAGGCUAGGACCAGGUGCAAUUCUGAAAUUAAAGCAUGUAAAAUGUCAAAGUCUGCUUAAAAGAAGUGUGAUUUUUUAGAAACACAAUGGAAUCUUGAUUUUUUAGCUAUUUCUUUUUAGUUAGAUUUUAAUAAGAGCCAAGAAAACAGCUCUUACAAUUGUUCUUCUUUGGUAAAAAAAAAAAAAAACAUGGUGGAAUAAUUUACUGCUUGUUUUGGUCAGAGUAGCAAAAGGAUGUAAUCAGAUUUAACCUUAUAUUACAGCUUCUUUAUAUAUAUUUACUCUUAAAGUAAGGAUCAUUUCUUCCUCCCUGGACCUUGAGGCUACCUCUGUCUUUUUUCCCCUGCCUCUCCAAUGGAUUCAAGACUGUUAAUGAUUUUUGUUGUGGCAUUUUUCUACAUAUGACGAGUGUUCCAAGCUUUUAUGCUUACAACAAAGCCUUAUCUUUGUCCAGAAGUGUCACCAUGAGGCUUGCUGAAGUCUUGGCUGUAUCUUAGUAAUGUCAGUUAUUUGAACCUUGGUCACCAGCUGCAUCUGCUUGUUUAAAAAACAUUUCAAAGCAAGGUUUUGAUGAGGAACAGGUCAGGGUAAACUUGUUGUCAGUUUGCUUCACAAAACCCAUUCAUAUCCUUUCCCAC